GCGAAUUAUUUGAUGUGGAAAUAUUGGACACCCGUUAUAAGACCUGUUCGUGACAUUGGCUAAGUUCUCAACACCAUGGACACCAAUCUCGUCGAGGGCAUCGACGGUUACGAUGAUCGUUGUCAUCUCAAGAAGACGUAACUUUUCGUCGUCGAUGGUCAGCGCAUUGAUAUCACUGAUGGGGGUUACGCAAUCGACAUUAUUUCACGAAGACGUGAGACUAAACCUUGAAGUCGAUGAUUACGAUAGUGAUGUCAUUGACGACAGUUAUUAUAACCGUCAUCGCUGCAUGCAGA